UUUAAAACCCCUUUUUUAAAAGGGGUCUUAAUACUCUUUUAAAGGCAGUUAACAGGGUUCCCUACGAUAUUUUUGACAAUAUUAUGUUCUUCUUUGUAAAUACAAUCUCAAUGAAUCAUGGGAGCGAUCAAACAACUUUGGACAACAGUCAAUACAUCUUGAUGUAGAACCACAAACAUGUGGAGAGAAACUGAUAUAGUUUGUGUUGAAACAAACUAAUCUCAAGCUUGUGACUUCUUCAUCGUCCUUCCAAUAAGUUAACAACACGCUAAGAGUCCCACCUUCCCAGCAUGUGUGUCCCAUCCGUACUCCUGCCCACAGGGGCAAAUGCAUUCGACUCCAUGUUUAUCAACCAACAAAAUGCUUGCCUUUUCGAAAAAUCAACAACCAUCAUUCGUUGCAACCAUGCGUGCGUGUACGUAGGCCCUACACUCUCCCCCCUUCCUGUACACGGUGUGCUGUGCGUGUCGGUCCAUUGAGAAUUUUCAAUCAACCCUGCCUGCUACACCGCCGCACACAAUCUGCAGCACAUAGCACACACCGUUUGUAUCAAUUUUACGGUAGCUUUGAUGGUCUGGCAAAACACUAAACGAUCGCUUGUGUGUUUCCUCCCUUUUUUGUGUGUGUGUGUGUUGUACUCCCUCAACCCCAACCCUCCAAUACGCACAAAGCGGCCGGCCUCAUGGUGCUGCUGCGGCGGCAUGCACGGCCUAUAAGUCACACAUUCCUUCCCUUCCCGCCCCAUCUUCCAUCCAUCCGGUGCGAAGCUCUCCGUUUCAAAAAGGUGGUAGUAGCAGGCAGUGGGAAAUGCAUUCUUCUGCAAGUGCACAGUCAAAAUAAACAACAGAGUUGGGGAGCGAAGGUAGCGCGCGGUAGCAGAACUUCCGAGUCAACAGUUCAUGCAUCCAUCCGUUAAAGCCUCCCGAUCAGACGCAUCAGUGAAAUUGCACACGCACACACAGUGUGCAGUGGCAUUUUCUUCUCAGCACAGUAGGAAACGAAUGGCCAGAAAUUAUGCGUUUGUUCGAUUAUUUUGCCUACCCACUGGGGGGUUUACUUCUAAGGAACAACCCACACUGCAAAGGGUGCAAACCCUUUUUGUGAAAACGGAACGAUGCGUGUCAUCUUCCUGCUGGUAGUGUGGUGUGUACACGUACCUCACUGCAGUAUUAUCCCUUGCCACGCAGCGGCAGGACAAAGGGCAAAGCAGCAGUGCGUUAUCGCAUGUCAACAUUUAAUGAGAUGUACAUUGCGUACAUUUUGCACAUCAAUAAACUGUGUGGCUCCCUCUCUGGUUGUGAUUUUCCACUCGCUUGUUUGCUGUCCUUUUCCUGUGUAGGCCUGUCAGAACUGCUACGACAGGACUUUCAGGACAGAAAGUGUGUGUGUGUGUGUGUAUGUCUGUGGCAUAGAUUAUUAUUCUCGACCUAUUUCCUGCUAUCCCCUGUUUUCUUGGUUGGUGUGCUCGCAAAGAGCUUCAACCUGGGGCUAAUUGGAUUUAAGGAAAUAUAAUGGAGAGAACGUUUUACUUCUUACCGCACACCGUUCGUGCGGUAAAAGGGAUUGACCUUUUUUUAUCGUUCCGUUACGGCCAGCAGUGUGGGAGAAGGAAAAGGGCAGAUGAAGCAGUAGUCAAUAAAAUGUCAAAUGUCGAAAGGAAAACAGUUGAAAUGGUGGAGAAAGAACUAAAGAGUAAUGGGUGCAGUGUGCACUGACAGGAAAACUGACAUUUGAAUGGAAUGGAUUCAAUUUUUUUACAAAAUGAAUUCAGAUUUACAUUCUACUGCAAAACGAGGAGGAGGAGUCGCUGUCUCUUUCGCUGUUGGAUUUUUCGAGAUAAUUAUGAGAUGGGAGGGAAGAUGAAUUUGGUUUUUAUGAUGAAAGAGAGAGAGAGAGAGAGAUAGAGAGAGAGAGAGAGAGAGAUAGAGAGAGAGAGAGAGAGAUAGAGAGAGAGAGAGAGAGAGAAGGUUGUUUCAGAUAAAGGACAGGUACUGCUGAAGAAUUUAAAAAAAUAAAACGAACUUCCAACGGCAUCAUCGAGAUGGCUCUCGGACAGUCAAAUGGAUAGACGCACUGUCUCAAACAACCCCUGACAGGUAUCGAAUCUUGAAACAAAGUGUUGAGUAUUUCUUCGUUCACUUCAGAAAUCAACACACAUAAGAAUGAACAUGGAAAACAGGAACUAAGAAAUUAAAAAAAAAAAACACAUAGGAGAGGCCAUUUUUGCAAUGUUUUGUGUUUGUUUCGCAAAGUAAAAUCGCAACCAUAUGCCGGCUUUGCCCAUUUCACCAAUAAUAUAUCCCAUGGUUGUUGUUGUGGUCCGGCCCAUGAGGUGUGCGAUAUUUCCAUUCAAACGAUCUAACCCCCUCGAUCCCCGGUCCUCUUUUCCUGCUCCGUCCAAAACCCAAUUGUGGGGGUGGAAACAAACAAGGAGGACGAGGAUAGUGGUGGCGGUAAUGAGCAUAUGGCUGUGUAGAGUGGUGUAUGUGUGUGUGUAGAGCUGGUGAGUGUGUUUAGUGUUGCAAAGAGAGAAUGGCGUGGUACAUAUUGGCCAUAUUGGUAGUUGUGUGUAUGCAGCACACCGUUGCGUAGUAAUAUUGGCUCACGGUGUGCUGCUGCUGCUGCUGGUGUGCCUGUCUCUGUAUAGUGGUAGUGACCCACGAAGUCGAGCAAAGGUCGAUGACACGACGGGAACCCAUUCAUCCGUACUGGAAAACACGAAAAGGAGAGAGCGCGACUGCUGCAAAACUGUCAGACAUCGCUGUGUGUGUGUGUGUGGCGGAUUGGAUGUAACCGUGGUUGGGGCAAGCACGGCAAGGGUUGAUUGUCCGGAGUCGUGACGUCGGCAAAGGGGUGAGCGAAAAGGGGGUGACAAUGCGGAACCAAACGACGCUUUCGCGAAAGAGACGAGUUUUGCUGCACCCCCCCCCCCCCCCCCCAAAACGGUACAGGGGAACGGUAUGGGCUGCAAGGAACUCUACACACUCGCGUGCAACGGAAGGAACAGAUUCAUCGCAGCAAAAGCAGCAGCAGCAGCAGCAGCCGGUCGGUGGAGGAACUUGCUUUUUUACAACCCAAAACAGAAAGGCGAGCAGAAAGAAAGAGAUCUUUUCCCCAACAACCCACCGGUUAUGGUGCAGACUGUCGCAGAUUCACACAAACACACAUAAAUGUUGGAAUACUUGAACGUGAAGAGAAAUGGAACUAGUUGUGGAGAGGCUGAAAAAUGGCUUAAAACACAUAAUGCGAAAGACAAAAGAACGUUAGAAAAUUUUGACGCUUUCAAGUGUGUACAGACACGGCGGGUGAACUUUUCACACCGAGAACGAAGGAUGAGAGGCGAACAAGAAAGUUGUCCCAACGGGAAAAUUGCUGGCAAACUAACUGUCUCGAGCGCCAAACUCUCUAGCGUGCGUGUCUGUGCCUGUAUGCCUUCCGGGUAGACGAAUCGAUGAUGGAGGCGAAAUAUUCAUCGAGCUUUUCCUCCAAUUCUAGUGUGGAAACUUCUGAAAGUAAGCAGACGGUUGGCACAGGACUCGUUUCUUCGAUCGAGAAACUUACACCAAGACGAGAAAGUAAGUCUUUCAAACCAUAGAACAUUAUGCUGAAAAGCGGAAAUGAAUGUUGGGAAAAUAUGAAGGAUAUGUGGAGGAAACGUUAAAGUUUCGUGUAACCACAAAUAGUGGCACGUAAACAGUCCGAGCCGAGUUUGAAUUGCAUUCAGAUUAAGAACGGUCAUGUAAAUGUGAUUAAAAAGCUACUCCUUUUGACAUCCCUGUGAUGUAUAUUGCUGUACAAAGCAAUGCUUCUAGCACGCACAUUGUUGAGUAAAAUUGGCAAAACUUUCUGCAAUUGAGCAAAAUUCUAGAGAAAGUUUGAUCAAAGCGAGAAACUCGUUCGCAGUAAUGGAAGAAAUCGUCGUAUUGUAGCUUAUAUUUGCAAAUUACUCUCCUCAUGUCAAUUCGCUCUUAAAGAGCAACCGGUAAGAGGCGCGUUUUGUACAAGGCAGGUUUGCGAUUGAUUCUCGGCUUUACUCGUUUAAAAACUAUAAUAAAUUGAUUUCUCUCUAGCCAUUUAAAAACUUUUCUGCUCUGAGCACGACCUUUUCAUUUCAUCAUUUCAAUCCAUCUAUCGAUGUAUGUGUGUUCCAUUUUAUAAAAAACUCCUUUUUAAUUCCCCGUCCCGACAGUUAAAAAAUAAUAAUUUAACUACCCGCUCAAGCAUGCUGUCAUUAAUUUGCACAGCAAUCAAGUCAACAAUUUCCGGUCCCUACUCGCUCCACUCUUGAUCUGGAAAUAUUGGUGGAAAACUUUCUCCCAUGUGUGUGUGUGUUCUGCUCCUGUUUUAUUUUAUUUUUUGUCAUUCCCAUUCGCUGUGGCUCCUCUUUCCGUACGCCAAUUAGCGCAUUUCUGCAACACGACAGGGAAAAAUUAAUAAAUCCUAGCGUCAAAAGGCGACUCUCGCGUGUGUAUUUGACUCGCAAACGGACGAGGUGCUGUGUGCUGUGUGCUUUGUUUUUUUUUUUUUUUUUUUUUUUGGGGAGAACGAAAAGCACCACACCGAGGUGCACAAAAGUUUGUGGACAAUCCCCCGAAAACAUUGUAUAGUUGGGAGUUUUCCGGCGCUAAAUGUUCAUAUGCCCGGGCUGCACCGUCGUGCGCUGGGCAGCUUUCGCACGGCAAGCCGAUAGAAACCGGUGGAAAGGAGCGGACUAGGAACACACCGACCGGAGAUGAUAUGAAAUGAAUCGUUUGGCGAGCAUGGGAUAAAAUGAAGCAACCAAGCAAACAAGCAAGCAGAAAAAAAUGGGAGCUCUCCCGUCCGUUCCGGCAUGAAAUAUGCUACAAAGCUCUUUCUCUAUCGCCCCCCCCCCCUUUGUUGCAUCGUGCAUCGCUUUCCACCGUGCCGUCCCGAGGCUCUGGACUGGAUGAGAAAUGGCAAAACGCUAAAUAAAUUUAUUUGCUUAAGCCACAAUCUUUUGCGGACUAUACCGACGCGCUCGCUCGCUCGUUUCACCCCGGCCGGGCUUGUUGUUUGGACCGAUUUGCGUUUGUUUGCAUGUGUGUGUGUAUGUAUUUAUGAUCCUUUUUUGUGUCGGGCUUUAAAGAGACACACGUACGUUAACAUCUAAAUCAUAAUGUGCGCAGAUUUAUUGGGCAAAUUAAACUCAUAUUGAUUGCCAUGUUUUUCGCGCAAUUCUUUAUUGAAUUUAGCUUUUCAAUGAAACAGAUUGAGCAUUUGAUGUUCUGGGACUAAGAGAAUAAGCUAUAUUCAGUACUGAUUUAUGUUAAAAGAACGAAAAACCUGUCUUAAUGUUAACGUGCAUUGGACCAAGCACUUUUACAACACAAUGUCCAAUAAAUCAUCUCAGAAUCGUCUGCUGCUGCACCACAAGAAAGGAACCUCGAAAUCUUGCCACCAUAAGCUACCAAAUCCACGUGCUCUUCUGCAGCCUGCUCUUGUCUGCCCCUCUAUUAGGGUGACAAUAAAAACUGCGAAACACCAAACUGUGAAUCGCUCGCCCAGCUGUGCUCAAACGGACAUACAUUUUGCACAUGAUACGAGCGUUUUAUGAAUCAGAGCGAAGAUGAUUUAGCGAACACCCGUGCGACGACGCCUGCUUGCCCACCACAGAGUGGAGGUUAAAAUGCGCGCCAAACAAGAUCUUCGAGUUGAUGAUGAUCGCGUACCCGUCGGGCCAGCUCCCCGCCGCCUAAACCUCGUCGUCUUUGCUGAUAAAGAACGGACGCAAAACCAACACACUGCUGUGAUGGGCGUUAGAAUGAGGCAAAGCGGAGACAUUGAUAGCAUUCUUGCCUUCGAGUCAAAAGAAGUGCAAUUUAGUGGUGGUGGUGGUGGAGAGAGAGAGAGAGUCACACAUUAUCAGGCCCACCUUUCCCUUCAACUCCCCUAUUGCCUGGGACGUAUUAUGCAGCUCCGUGCAGUUCUUGCGGAUCUUGCCGCAGCAAAAGCAAAAGAAACCCGAAAAACUCUCGCUCGCUCUAACGAACACCACAAAAAGCUCGAUGACAUCCGUUUGUUUUUGUUGUUUGCGCACACAACAGUCUUUUCUCUAACGCGCGCGCGUCUCGUCGGCUGGUGUGCUUGCUCUCGAUUUGUGUUGCCCAUCUUUUCGUGGGGAGAGCGGUUGGCAAAUGUUGGCAAUGUUCACCCAAAACACAGGAACGCGCUGGGCAAAGGCAGCAGCAGCAGCAGACACAAACCUCAUCCAACAUACGUAUAUACACACAAGCAACGAACCUUCCCACCACCCCGGUCGGGACCUAUCCCAGACGUACCCCUUCCCUCGUUUCGUUCCUGGGGCUUUGUUCUGCGCGUGUCCUCCCAUUACCAUCAUCAUCGUCGUCGUCGUCGCCGACCUACGGAAAGGCCGCCGCCGCCGUCGACUGUUUCCGUCCGCCGACGGGGUGUGUGUGUGUGAGAACGAGAAGCGAGAACGAGAACUGAACCGAACACACAACCUAAAGCCAAACCGACCCAGCCAGCCAGCCAGCCAGCCAGCCAGCCAGCCAGUCAGCAAGAGGUCAACAAACUUUGCGAAAUAUAAAUACAUAAUAAAAACGGCAAUAGAGAGUGAGAAAGAGAGAGAGAGUGAGUGAGCGCGAGUGAGUGAGAGAGCUGGUUGAGGACGCAUCGUGUUGGGGCGACGAGACGUGGUGCAUCUCACCCCCCCCCCCCUAUCCUCCUCCUCCUCCUCUCCCCGAUUACUUGCACUCUCAGUCCCGGUUUCCGAUCCUCCCUUUUGACCAUCGCGUGGUGAUGGUGCACCGACCAGUGCAUGGGGCAAACCGUUCCUAGCGGCGUACAAAAUCAUGGCGGCGGCAAUGGGUGUGAUGUGAUGGUGGUGGUGUAUUUGGGGUCGUGUUACGUGGUCGAAAUGAUGGGAUUCCUGCAUGUAUUUUUUUUAUUAAGUGUUUUGUUUGGGGAGGUUAUGCACGGGUGUGUACAUGGUGGGGUGUGCCUUUUCGGAUGAUCGCCUCGUCAUCACGCUUCCUACCCUUCCCAGCUCGUUCUAUUACGCCCGGCAACGAUGGCAACAUGUUUUUUCUGAUGUCGAUUACAAGCGCUUCCUGAUAUGGGUUUUUUGUUUCCUUUCUGGGGUGGGGUUUUUGGAGCCGAGAAAUGGUUUAGGAACUGUCCAAACGUCCGAAAGGAUUCUCUCAAUACUGGCAUUAUGAGGUUAGAGAUCUUGUGAGCCUUUGAGGCCAAGAACGUGCUUUGUGUGGACGUAUGUGUGUGUGUCCCGGGUUGAACGUUCCCUUCCCAAGAAGGUGGAAUUGCUUCCGGUAAUGGCGGGGAGUAUGUCUUUGGGAAAUUUUGGAUGGAGUUGUAUUUGAUUGUAUUUUGUUGUCUGUGGUUCACAUAAAAAGAGGGAAUUUACAUGAGCUUAUCGUGUCUGUGUAUGUUGUAUGUGUCGACAUAAACUUCAUGUUAAGCAUGCAUAGAAUACACCUUAAACUAACGGCUCGUAAACUGCUCCGAAAGAGUAUGCUAUAAGCUUCUUUUCCAUUUUCGUUUGCUUUGAUGACAGAUACGUGUGUAACGAAGAUUACACCAAUUGAUAUCUCUAAUUCCUAUCUUGUCACGAAAGGAGCUAACAUCACUGUAAUUUGCACUAUCGUAAUCUUCGGAAGCAAAUCACCUUUGUUGGUUUAUUUCAGCGACGAGUAUUGUUUAUAUACGUUUAGAUCUUAGAUACAUCAUGUUGACUUUAUAGCCUGAUUGAUAACGUGCGCUAUCAUAUCAUUGUCCUGUUGUGCCGUUGUAAGUUCAAAACUCUAACGAACCAUUAAGCGCUUUCAUCUCUUUAUUCCGAUACGGAAUUUAAUUUUAAUUAGUAGAAUGCUCUUAGUUUUGAAUUAGCAUUAUCCCCACUUGGCUGUGGCUCUCUUCAAACUUUUUAUACUUCUGGGUCUGUUGGAGGACACAAAAGAGGCAAGCUGGUGGGUGGAAACAUUCAAACAACCAACAAUUGGAAAGCCGUAAUUUGUAAUUAGUACCAGCAACCCUGGAGCUGUUCAGUAAUUCUACUGUACAAACAAUCAUUUCGUUUGUGUUUUUAUUUUUGCAAUUUAAUCCACUUCAACACUCCAUUCGCUACGAAUGCGAUCGAACCGCGAAUCAUUACCUAGAUCACGAGCCGCGCAAACUGUGCCUGUGUCUCGCUAAUGAGGAUCGCAAACAUGAAAAUGCUUUCAGUGCUGUUCGACGUAUUGUGCAGAUGGCAGGGCUAUCGAAAUCCAACACGCCUCGUGUAAAUGGAGAUCCUAGGCAAAUGCUAAGGGUUAAACGAUCGUUGUCGUACUCUUCUGCCCUGCGAAAAGGGACGGGUGGUUUGCCCUUACGCGUCCAGCUGACGUUCGACUAGAGAAAUCCAUUUGUUUCGCUAGCUCGCGGAACUAUCCACGUUACCCCGUGUACCGAGCAAAAGGUAAAAGGAUCAGCGAUCAACCCUGGGUGCGGAAGAUUAAAAGGGAAUGCUAGAAUCAACGAUCGGAAAGACAUGAAAAUACGUGCCACUAGAAAGGCGUGCUGUCCCGGGGAAUUGGUCCGGGCAGAAGACCCCCUCAACCGCGCACAGCUCUAGUAGGGGAGAUCUAUCACGCUGCUGUGGGUUUCAUGGAUUGGUGGAGCUAUUGUAGAAGAAAAGAAGAAAAAAACAACACCGCUUAAAUAAAUAAGCAAUGGAUAGUGAUGAAAAUGGCAGAUGUGUUCAGGAAUGUCAUCAGGCAGAGGCAAGCGAACGAGCAGAGGAGCUCUCCAUUCCUUACCGUAUCGCAUUUCUCCUCCACUACACAUUAAAAAAAACGUGAAGUCGUCCCGAGUCACGACUCUCAUUUCGCCUGCGAUCGUGACAAUCAUUUAUUGUACCUCGCAUCGGGUUCUAUGCUAUUUGCCCCCUUCUGCGCUUCUUCGCUGAUGCUUGCGACGUGUUGAACGAAUUUGCCUUCCACGUCCUCGUUAUCCUCGUGGUUGCGAAGGCAACUCGAUCGAACACGCGGGAUCGCCUGUUUGCACGGGCCAAUCGUGCGAUGGUACAUCACCUGCACAUCAAGGCGCCAGCUAUCCUGACCGCAGAGAGAGAGAGAGACAGACGGAGAGAGAGAUAGUUUCAAUUAAACGCGCAAGAAUGUGCAAUCACAUGAAAUAGCUUUCUCUACCCAUCCACUUCAGCGUGUCACGUACAAUUCAUUAGCCCAUCGGAAGUAGUUGUAAUAUAUAGUUCCUAAAAUGGCAUAUCAUAAAUUAAACGAGGUAACUUUUUCGCUUUCCCGUUUCGCCCAGGUGCCGCCCCUCGGCGUUGUGGCUUGACGCGGAAUGGGGGAAUAGAAUUCCCCGCAGGGUGAUAGGUAGCAUCAACAUAAAUAACCCGACACUUGGCAUCCACCACCCUGUGUGUGUGUGUGUGUGUGUGUGUGUGUGUAUGUGCGGGAGGUGUAGGUGUCCCAUCCACUGUGGCUGUGGCUGGUGCAUCCCAGUCCACCAGCUUGCAAUGUAUCAUCAACCCCGCGCCUCGCCCGCAUUUAAACAACGAACCGAGUGGUUUUGUUUGUGCUGUGCUCGCAGUUGACCGCCAGGCUGGAGAAGCACUGACUGGUUGGUCUAAUUCAAAAUAAUUGCCCUUUAAUUCGUUUUGCACUGGAGCCGGCUGCAGAACCACUAGCGCAGCGUCGUUGUGUCACAGUUGGAUGGAUGUUGCCCGUCUUUCAAGUGGUGUUCGUUCUUUCCGUGCGGUCAACACGUGUGGUUUGCCAAUGAACGAGGUGUGCAUAUGGCGAUUGUGUACACCGAUGUCUUUUAAUGAUAUGGGGUAGUGGUUUGCCUGCCCUGUUGAAUACGUUCGCGAAAGAGCCCGACAAACGUUCGUACAUUUACGUGCGUGGCAUGAUAAGCAUGCUAAUUACGUUGGAUCAUUUGUACAUUUAAUUUGCUUUUAAAUUUAACUUUUAAAAUGUGGUCAUUCCUAGUUUUCUCUUGAAUACUUUGUUGAAUCCUCACUCCGGACAACCAACGAGUGGAAUAUCAAGAAAUUAGGAUCGUGUAUAGGAAUGGUAUGGCAGAAAAUGUAGAAGCACAUGAGAUUUUAACCGCGUAGCAUGAGGUCCCCUCUCAUGGUGUCGUGGUAAAGGAUGCAGCCUGCCACACCAUAGGUCAUGGAAUCAAGUCUGGUGUGUGGAUCUUUCUCCAAUUUUCUCAUUGAGAAAUGAAAGAAACUUAAUGUCGCCAGUACCCCAUUAUUCAGUAAAAAGAUAAUUUUGGAAUAUAGCUUGCAUACCUUUUAGGCGCUUUGUUAUACAUAUUGCAUACAUUGAGGCUCCUUAUUCAAAUAAAAGGUUUAUCUGUCUCCAUUUUUCAGCAAUUAUAUUGUCGUCCAGAAACAGACCAUAGUGAAAAGUAACCUAUCAUUUACUGCCUGCGUGCGCGUUCGUAGUGUAGUAGUUGUGAGCAGUAUCAAUAAUAAUAAUACUACUACGAUUCCCCUCUUUAGCUCUUUGCCGGGUGAGCUUUCGUAUUUCUAUCCGAUGGUCCAUUGCACUCUCCCAUGAUUGCUCGGGAUGAUACCGAAUCUCUCUCUCUCUCUCGUUAAGGAUACAUCGGUAGAGGUGCAGCAUCAACGUGCACACUACCCCAAGAGACAGUCAGCACCAGCCAACAAACCAACCCACCAAGGAUACGUGUAUCAUCACACAGCUAGCACCAGCUUUCUUUUUCUUCUGGUUUUGCGGGCGAUGUGCUGCGAGUAACGUUUUCGGCCGCCGGUGUGCGAUGCUCAUGCGCAGCUCUCACCGCGUAAAGUAGGGCAGUAGUCGUUUUUUUCUACCAGCAUCCCUCAUCGCGGGGUAUCAGCGGAGGAAGGAGCAUGCAACUCCAGGACUCCCUUUGCAAAAACCCCGUCAACUUAACGGCCGCUGGUCUCAGCGGCUGAGUCGGUGAGUCCUGGGAAUCCCUGGGAGGAAGUAACUUCUCAAGAACAACCGUACCGUUUCGUUUAUCCUAGCGGGCACAGGGGGGGGGCUCUCGCAUGGUAAAGGUGUUCGUCGGCCCUGAGGGUUCAGUAACGGUCAUAAAGUCGACGAGAAACACGCUCCGUGCGCUCUCUUGGUGUGGCGUACGUGCGGUGCGGUCUACGUUACUUGCUCUGUGAGCGGUGGGAGAGCUGCACUGUUCGUGUUCUAGAUCUGCUCGAUUUUGCACAUUUUCCCACAAUUAUCACACACACACACAUAUACUAUCGCUGGUAUAAGAGCGAGAGAGUGUCCUUUUUUAUGAUAAGCUGCUAUUGCUCUGCUAGAAUGUUGCUUUGGGAUGAUUUUGUGAAGUUUCAUGCUCCAGAUGAACUGCUCUCCCUUUGUUGAUAAGCCAAAAUUGCAUAAUGUGAUGAUGAUGAUGAUGGGAAGAGGAUGAUUGAAGCAUGUUGUAUGCAAACUAUUUUUUCAUGUCAUUAUAACAUUUUCUACAUACGUUUUGUUGCAAAGGUGUAUCAUUGAAGACUUCGUAAAAGCUUCAUUUCUUUAAAAGUAGUUCCAUUUGGUGAAGUCAAUUUCUUCCACAUAAAUAAGAGAAACAGAGAAUGAGAGACGCAAAUCUGUUCGGUUCAGAAGAAACAGUCGAAGAGAAGGAAGUGCUCGUCACGUGAUCCAACAUCAUUCGUGGCUGGUGUAGAACAUGGUUAAAAUUUGUCCUUUUCAAAUUAAUGAUUUAAUAUUUUUCAAACUCUAUCCGAGUAUCCUUCAUUGCUGCGUCUAGAUUUUUUACAUCAUUUUCUUGAUCAUUUUCUUAUCCAAGAAUCUCCAAAGGACAUAUACAAAGAAAACAAAACAGAAAAGCAACGCGAAAAGAAGUUAAGCUUUGCAAGCAAAUUUAAUUGAAAUCCAUUUUCCUGUUUGUUGAUGUUUCUUUUCCUACUUUCCAAUCGGUUUAAUUGAAGCAAUCGCAAAGGGGGUAAAUAUUGAUCUUUCUCCUCUUCUUGUGCUGCUUGUUUGCCAUUGCCAAUACGACAAGGACAAAGUCAAACUGUUGACUUCAGCGGCAAAUUUAAUCUUCGCUAAUUACGUAGCAAACUCGUCCAGCCUCGUUGGCUGUACGAUGAUGACGACGGGGACGUGCUGUUACUACUACUACUACUACUACUACUGGUUGGAAAACUUAAUGUUUUCCCUCCCCAUUUCAUCUUGAAUCUAUCAUCAUCUUCCACUGGUUAGAGUUGGGGUGUGACACUUCAUCGGAUGGAUGCUUCUGCUGCCACCCAGUCUCGUGACCAAUUGCCAUCGAUUUUCUUGUGUCUUUUCUUGCGCGAACUUGUUCAACACUUCGAUUGGUGUGCCGGAAGGGUCAUAUGAUGCUUUCCUGUGCUUUCAAUCACACAAAGAUGAUGUGAUGUAGCUACUGGUGAGCGAUAGGUCAUCAUUUAUCAAACAAGGGAGUAUCGUUUAUCAAUGAGAAAAAUGUGUUCUAACACGAAAAUGGUUUGCACACGAUCACAUGAUCGCCUCAGACCGCGUAAGAGCGUGACACCAAAGGAAGAGGAAAAACUGCUUCGCUCUCUCUCUCUCUCUCGCUCUCUCUCUCUUCAAAAUACCAAAUCGUGCGUGUAAAUGCAAUCGAAACUAAUACAUUUUUCUCACUCCCGACUGUAAACCUACUGCUGCUGCUCCAGCUAUGCCCCUGUCCGUACGUCAACACGCACGAAGAAGCUCAGAGUUCGGAGAUUCCUGCUUUGUUGGCUGCUUUUUUCCUUCUUUUGCACAACCGUCUCUUCUAAAUCCGUCCCAAAAUCGUGUGUUCUCCGUAUGGCACCACACCUUACUCCCCCCGCUUCCCUCCCUCCCCCUACUGUCUCUUUUUAGGAUACUAGCACGGCGGCCCCAUGAUCUGCUCACGUGUUUUCCAUGAGUUUUCCCACGGAGUCGUUUCGACACACACACACACACAAACACGCAACGCAAGGGAAAUACGCUUUUUUCUUCUCCAUUUUUUGCACUCCAUUGUACGUGUGUGUGUGUACAAAUCGAGCGCUCUCCCAGGGUGCAUUUUUCCCGUGCGUUGUCCCCUCCAUUGUCUGUGUGUGUGUGUGUGCUUCGUGUUUUGUCAUCAACGUUUCACACAGCACGCCGAACCAAGAACCACCUCUCUUCUCGCGCGCGCCCGUGUGAAUUUCAGGAGCGUUUGGAGUUUCUCGCUCAGAAUGUGUGCUCCAUCACACGCCAGGGCCGACAGGCUCGGUGUUGUCGUUUUCCCUUUUCCCCCCACAGUGGGAAAACCUUCUUCCAUCUCAGCUAAACACAUUGUCCGCUGUUGAUGGAUCUGUGUAUAUGUGUGUUUGUGUGUGUCUGUGUGAGGUGAUGCUCACACGCCAGAACCAGCGAAAAGGACCAACUCCUGGCGGAACGGGUCCCAAAACUCGUGGAGUCAGUUUCUCUUCCGUGGUUGGCCCGAACGGAACGGCACCGUGUGUGACACACGCUCCCAGGGACCAUCGUCUUGGGGCGUAAAAAAUCAUCUUACACACUCCGGAUAAAUCGCUCGUUCUCGUUCUCGUGCUCUCUCCCUCUCUCUCUCUGUCUCUGUCUCUGAGUAGGACGAGAGAGGAAGAGACACCGACAGUCGACAGUUUGGUGCAAAGAAACGCACCACAAUAUUAUCCAAUAUCCGGACAAGGGACGCACGGACCCCCGUGGUACUACACCAAAACCGGGUCUUUGCAACAACGAAAAACCCUCACAGCGACCGAAGGAAUUGGUUGUGGAAAAUUUGCACCAUCGCCACCAUUGGUCGGCCGCGUUCAGGCAGAGAGCAGGCAGCGGAUUGCAAGGGGUCGGGAAAAACAAAGCCAGCCAGCCAGCCAGCCAGCCAGCCAGGCUAAUGGACAAGCGACGGGAAUGAACAGCAGUACAGUAGCCAACACAGGCCAGCGAACAGGACACCACCCCGGGACGCACAAACAACCUUCCUUCCUUCGCGUGCGCCGUCUUCUUCGGCUGUCCCGGGGCGGGGGUUAGAAAGUAUGCAAAAUCUCAACCAUUUAGCAGUUAGCGGAUCGGUGGUUCGGUAGUGUUUAGUUGCGAUCCGUCGAGCUAGGCGGUAAGAACCCUCACAAGAAAGCGCGUCCCAAAGUCUGCUGCUGCAUUUCCAUUGUACGAUGCAUUCGUCCGCCCUUCUUCGCUCAGUGUUUGGUCAUUCCUGAAGUCAUUCCUAGUGUGUGUGUGUGUGAUUGUGCGUCUGUGUUUGUCCAUUUGUGUAGUGUUUAAGAUGGAAAUCUUGCGACUCGCGAUGCUCUGCUUCCGCGAGAGGUCGCACAAUUCUGCCCCGUCUGUGGAAACCCGUAGAUCCGAACUUGUGCUGCACUGUACAACUGGACACAAGAACGGAUAUAUGGGAUUCUGUCGACGGUUGGCCAUUCAUCGGUUGGAACAUUGAUUGUUGGACAAGUCUUGAUCGCGAGAGGCAAAGGAAGAUGGUAGAAGAGGUCUGGGAAAAUUUAUUUGUAGCAGAAGUGUAGGAACAGAGCGAGGAAUUUCUACGGAGUUCAGGAAGAGAUCCUUAAGGCUUAGGCUUGGUUGGAAACGUUGCCGCAAUCUUCGCUUAUUCUGGGUGUUUUUGAAUUAGUUUUCGUAUGCGAAGACAAUUUUCUUUCAGCAGACUUUCGAACGUAGGGAUGCGAAAUAGCGGGGCAGCGAGGGGAGGCGAGAAAAUAUCCAAGAGAACCUAAUACGAAGAGCACCAGUGUUCGGGUCGGUGCGUUUGUAGUGUGUUGGGUACUGGUAAAUGAGCAAGAGAUAGAUAGAGAGAGAGAGAGAGAGAGAGAGAGAGAGAGUGAUCCUUUUUCACACACAAAGAGUAUCCUUUCUUCGGUAUGUUGGGAGCAUCUCAGCAAGCGCAGCAGAAGUGCUCCCAGAACACUCCCAAAACCCAGCUCCAGAGCUCCAAAGAGUAUGAGAUAGGGAGAGAAAUGAAAAAGAGAAAGAGAGAGUCCCUUGUUCGUGUAUCCUUCGUUUUCGUCCCCAUCGCAUCCCCCAUAUUGGUAUAUGUGUGUGUGUGUCUGUGUGUUCAUGUGUGUCUGUGUUUCUUUGUGCCCGUGUGUGUGUAGUGCUUUUGGACCCUGCCCGGAGCUUUCGGGUUCCUAAGCAGCCGUAGUACAAUGUUAGAGGUAGUAAUGGCAGCAGUUCACGGAGCAUUGGAGCAAACCAAACCCGGAACCAAACCCGGAGGAACCGCGCUAGAGCAGCAUAUGCAGUUUCCGGAAACGACUGGACUGGUUUUGCUGCUGCCACUCCACUUCACUACAGUUCCACCUCAAAAGCCGUGAUCGUCGCACCGAACAACACCACACAAAGAAACUCCAGCGGGCAAUUUUCCGUAGUGUGUCUUUCUUUCUGUUAUUUAACACUCUUUUUUUUCAUUUCCAUUUCCUUUGAUUAAGUGUACAAGUGUUUAAAUGUUUAAUUGUGGUCGUGUUUUAAGAACGUGCUAGUAAGUGAUGAAAAAACACUCACACACACACAUACAACAUACAGAGUUUGGUGAUGUUGAAGCUGGUAAAAGUUAUGCUUCGCCCAACGUUGUACACAUUGUGUUGCAAAUGGUCUCCUCCUCUUCUACAGUGUUUCCCUUUAUUUAUUAUCCCUCUUUUCCAAUCCCUUGUUUCCCUGUUAUGUGUACUAACUACUUGUUAUGCCCACAGGCACCAUCAACGUUGUCCUUUUCCGUUCGUUUUUAUUCAACAUUGGCGGAAGUGUGUUAAGUUCCUUAAAAAGAAGAGAAAAAACACCCAAAAUCACAGCUCGUACAGCACAAAGUUACAUUGAGAUGGUUUGAGAUAGGUUUCCAACUACAACAACCGUGACAAAGGAAUGAUCGUUCCUAUGCUCACAAAUCCCUUAAUCUCAGGUGUAUGUGUUUCUGUGUGUCUUGUACGAGCUGACGAUUCUGUGGGUGUAAUAUAACACAAUAAAAUACCACACAAAAAAAACAACAAAAAAGUACAUACAAAACCAUUAACAAAAGAUAAGCAAAAUUUAACAUAAAAUAAAAAAUUUAGCGCAAUAAAAAGAGCACACACACAAAAAAAGCAAAACAUACAAAAAAUCUGGUUAUAUUCAAAUAAAAUUUCGAAACCAA